rnacentral:rRNA from 1 species
UGCCAGCCGCCGCGGUAAUACGGAGGGGGCUAGCGUUGUUCGGAAUUACUGGGCGUAAAGCGCACGUAGGCGGACUAUUAAGUCAGGGGUGAAAUCCCGGGGCUCAACCCCGGAACUGCCUUUGAUACUGUUUAUCUAGAGUCCGAGAGAGGUUAGUGGAAUCCCCAGUGUAGAGGUGAAAUUCGUAGAUAUUGGGAAGAACACCAGUGGCGAAGGCGGCUAACUGGCUCGGUACUGACGCUGAGAUGCGAAAGCGUGGGGAGCAAACAGGAUUAGAUA